rnacentral:lncRNA from 1 species
UCAUCUCCUUCAAGUUAAUUAGACCUCUGCUUUAAUCAUUUAUGAUCUUUGUAAUACAUUGCAUUAAUCUUUGUGGUGGAAACUUUUAAUCUUUCCUUAGGUUCUUGAGUGUUUGAUCAAUAUUUUUUGACAUAUUCUUCAAGUUGCAAAAGGUGUUCAUAUGUGGCAACAUUAGUUUUAUUUCUUGUCAAGACAACUGCGAAAGGUAACAUCUCAUCUCAAUCAACUGACUGUGACACGAAUAUGCUAGGAACUUUAGACUUCAAUAAAGAAUUGUGAUAAGUAAAAUAAGAAUCUAG